rnacentral:lncRNA from 1 species
CUGACCAUGGAGCUGCCAAAGCUCGAGAACCACUGACUUUUGGAAGCUUUCUUCCCCUGAAAUUUCAAGCAAUUGAUGCGAUUCAUGACGCCGAAUGUGCAUAUGUCCACAUGCAGAGUCCGAUGUCCAAAUCAGAUGGGGUUGAUAGUCAAGCUGUCCGACGACUACAAUUUUCUGAGAUAAGCAAAGCGGAAGUCUCCC